rnacentral:rRNA from 1 species
CCGGGGCUAAUACCGGAUGCUUGAUUGAACCGCAUGGUUCAAUCAUAAAAGGUGGCUUUUAGCUACCACUUACAGAUGGACCCGCGGCGCAUUAGCUAGUUGGUGAGGUAACGGCUCACCAAGGCGACGAUGCGUAGCCGACCUGAGAGGGUGAUCGGCCACACUGGGACUGAGACACGGCCCAGACUCCUACGGGAGGCAGCAGUAGGGAAUCUUCCGCAAUGGACGAAAGUCUGACGGAGCAACGCCGCGUGAGUGAUGAAGGUUUUCGGAUCGUAAAACUCUGUUGUUAGGGAAGAACAAGUACCGUUCGAAUAGGGCGGUACCUUGACGGUACCUAACCAGAAAGCCACGGCUAACUACGUGCCAGCAGCCGCGGUAAUACGUAGGUGGCAAGCGUUGUCCGGAAUUAUUGGGCGUAAAGCGCGCGCAGGCGGUUUCUUAAGUCUGAUGUGAAAGCCCCCGGCUCAACCGGGGAGGGUCAUUGGAAACUGGGGAACUUGAGUGCAGAAGAGGAGAGUGGAAUUCCACGUGUAGCGGUGAAAUGCGUAGAGAUGUGGAGGAACACCAGUGGCGAAGGCGACUCUCUGGUCUGUAACUGACGCUGAGGCG